rnacentral:lncRNA from 7 species
AAGCAACAAAGAGAGGCCCAGCCAGAAGAGCCCCAGCCGUCUGCCUGUUCCCUGCUUCAGGAUGGGAAGCAGUGGGGUGGCCACAGAGCUCACCCAUUCCUUGGCCAGGUGCUGGGUGUAGGAGGAGAGGCCCCAGAGAGGCUACAGGAGACACAGAGGGCCCCUUGACUUCAACACUGUGCUGGAGAACGGAGCCAGCAGCAUCAUCAAGCUGCACCCGCCUCGGCGACCACAGAGGCUUGAACCUGCCAGCGCUCCAAGGGGGAUCACUGCUGCAAAGCCCUGGAGCCAGCAAGGGGUGGAUGGAGCCCCAAAAGCCAAGACUCUGGAGAAGAGGGGGCAGAGCCUGAGAGCCCUCCCUGGCAGGCGGCAGCACUUGCACAAGAUGCAGAUGCUGGACUUGACGCGCCGGCGCCGAGAGGCGGAGCUGAAGCGGGAUCCCCACAGGGAGGCAAAAAUCAAUAAACAAAAGAUGGAGGAAUUGGGCUCGGAGAUGGGCCUUGACACUCUUCAGAGAGGCGACAGCGCCAGAAGCCAAGACCUCAUCCCUGCUGAGCACAAGCAGCAUUUGAAUGGACACCUUGGAAACAGAGGGGAUGAAGCAUUUGCAGGGCAGCACUCCAGAGCUGGGCUUCCCCUGGGCGGCAGCAGCAGCAAGGUUGGGCUGUGGUUCUGCAAGGAGCCACGCAGCAGGGACCUGCUCUGGGACACUUCCAGCACUGACUCUGAGGACUGGGACAGGGAAGAGAAGAAGCUUUACCGCAGACGUCCGCUGGUGAGAACCAGGACAGAGAGAGUUUCACUCUUUGAUAACUUCUUUGAUAAAGAGUUUUAGCAGCACGGCUUGGGAUGUGCUGAAGGAACAAGCCAUGAUCUCUGCUCUUGGAUAGACCCAUGGCAUGAAUGUGAUGUUUGAUGUGCAGCAUUUCUGAACACGGAGACCAGCAGAGAGGAGCACUGGAAAUGAGGUGGCCGAUGUGCAGCCAGAAAUGACAAGUUUGGGUAUGUGAAAGAAUAUGUGGGGGAAAAGUGGACCGAGCAACAAUAAAUGGGGAACGGGGUCAGGGGGGAAGAGGAGGCUGGCAGACCCAACAAGCAGAAGCUGGAGAAUAUUCUGGGUUAACCCCCAUAUUAAUUUCCAACUGAAAUAAAGUGUUUUGCUUGCCUUAAGGUCACUUGGCCUUUCUGCUUGUUUUUAACCCUGCAUCCUUUUCGAAGCCACAGAACAUCCGUUCAAAUUGGAUGGCACAACGAUUGGGUCAGAAGUCUUUAAAUAAACAUUCUGGUAUUU